GAUGAACGCUGGCGGCGUGCCUAACACAUGCAAGUCGAGCGAGGGUUUGCUCAGUAUUGAGUAUUCUAAGUCUAGAAUGUUCAAUUCUGAGCAAAACCAAGCGGCGGACGGGUGAGUAACGCGUGGGUAACCUGCCCUAUACACAUGGAUAACAUACUGAAAAGUUUACUAAUACAUGAUAAUAUAUAUUUGCGGCAUCGCAGAUAUAUCAAAGUGUUAGCGGUAUAGGAUGGACCCGCGUCUGAUUAGCUAGUUGGUGAGAUAACUGCCCACCAAGGCGACGAUCAGUAGCCGACCUGAGAGGGUGAUCGGCCACAUUGGAACUGAGACACGGUCCAAACUCCUACGGGAGGCAGCAGUGGGGAAUAUUGCACAAUGGGCGAAAGCCUGAUGCAGCAACGCCGCGUGAACGAUGAAGGUCUUCGGAUCGUAAAGUUCUGUUGUAGGGGAAGAUAAUGACGGUACCCUGUGAGGAAGCCCCGGCUAACUACGUGCCAGCAGCCGCGGUAAUACGUAGGGGGCUAGCGUUAUCCGGAUUUACUGGGCGUAAAGGGUGCGUAGGUGGUCCUUCAAGUCGGUGGUUAAAGGCUACGGCUCAACCGUAGUAAGCCGCCGAAACUGGAGGACUUGAGUGCAGGAGAGGAAAGUGGAAUUCCCAGUGUAGCGGUGAAAUGCGUAGAUAUUGGGAGGAACACCAGUAGCGAAGGCGGCUUUCUGGACUGCAACUGACACUGAGGCACGAAAGCGUGGGUAGCAAACAGG
rnacentral:rRNA from 1 species